rnacentral:piRNA from 1 species
ACAUUCAGCGAACAUAGCAUAG